AUGGUGGUGCCACCGGCCAGCUCAGAAGCCCAGAUGGUGCAGUCACUGGGCUUCGCCAUCUACCGCGCACUGGACUGGGGGCUGGACGAGAGUGAGGAACGUGAGCUCAGCCCACAGUUGGAGCGGCUCAUCGACCUCAUGGCCAACAGCGACUGUGAUGAUGGUGGCUGCGGGACAGCUGAUGAGGGUUACGGGGGCCCUGAGGAGGAAGAGGAGGCCGAGGGUGGCCCCCGCACGGUGCGCACCUUUGCCCGGGCCAUGCAGCUAUGUGCCGCACGCCUCACCGAGCCCCAGGGUGCUCAGGCACACUACCAGGCCGUGUGCCGCGCCCUCUUUGUGGAGACGCUGGAGCUGCGCGCCUUCCUGGCCCGUGUCCGUGAGGCCAAGGAGAUGCUGCAGAGGCUGGGAGAGGAUGAGCCACAGAUGCAGAAGCCACUGGCUGAGCUCGACAACCUCGGACAUACAGACUGGGCCCGGUUGUGGGUGCAGCUCAUGAGGGAGCUGCGCCAUGGGGUGAAGCUCAAGAAGGUGCAGGAGCAAGAGUUCAACCCCCUGCCUACUGAGUUCCAGCUCACACCCUUCGAGAUGCUGAUGCAGGACAUCCGCGCCAGGAACUACAAGCUGCGCAAAGUCAUGGUGGGUGGGGACAUCGCGCCCAGGGUGAAGAAGGAUGCACAUGAGCUCAUCCUGGACUUCAUCCGCUCCCGGCCUCCCCUGAAACAGGUCUCUGAGCGCCGGCUUCGACCGCUGCCACAGAAGCAAAGGACCCUGCAUGAGAGGAUUCUGGAGGAGAUCAAGCAAGAGCGCAAGCUGCGCCCCGUGGGGACCCAGCGCUCAGGCACUCAGGGCUUUGGCUCUCUGCCUUGCAUCCUCAAUGCCUGCUCUGGGGACAUCAAGUCCACUUCCUGUAUCAAUCUGUCUGUCACGGACGUCGGGAGUAGCACUCAGCGCUCACGGCCCCGGGUCCUGCUGAAGGCACCCACGCUGGCUGAGAUGGAGGAGAUGAACACCUCUGAGGUCAGAGCCACACAGACCCUGGCAAAGCCAGGGGCUGAGCCAGCUGGGAGGGGGCAGGUGGGACGGGUGCUUACCGUCUCGGCAGUCAGAAGCGGCCAUGGGAUACUCAGACAGUGCCCUGGGGCCAGCUUCUCUCUUCCUGAGGAGUGCUCGGGAGGGCUGCACAUGGACAUGUCAGUCAUCCCGCGGCCAGACAGCUGAGCAGCCCUCGGCUGGAGGGCAGGGUGCUCACAGCGAGGUCCCUUGGCCACCACGGCUGCUGAGUGCCACCUCCCCUUCUCUGGGUGGCAGCUGUCUCUCAGCCUCCUCCUGUACAAGGUCUGUCCUCCCCUGGUACUUCCGGAAGGCCUCAGGGGCAGUUUGGGUAUUGAGGCACUUGCCAGAGUAUUCAGGCACGGGAGGGCAGAGCCAGAUGUGGUGCAACACACCAUAAUCCAAGCACUUUGGAAGGCUGAGGCAGGAGAAUUAUAAAUUCAAGCUUAGCUUGGAGAAUUUAGUAACUUAGCAAGACCUUGUUGCAAAAUUUAUAAAUAAGAGAAUGACUGGGGACGUAGCUCAGUGGGAAGGCCCCGGGUUCAAUCUCCAGUACCACCAAAGAAAGAAAGAAAGCCAAAAAAAAAAAAAAAAAAAAAAAAAAAUAGGAAGGAAAACAUACAAAAGUUUGAAAGACAUGUGGCCUCUCUUUUUCACUG
rnacentral:lncRNA from 1 species